AGCGGCAGCAGUCGACUCACCGUAGUGAAGACACCGCGGUGACCUUUGAGAGAAAUGGAGGCCUGAGAUGAGUAAAACGCCACUUUGGUGUUAAAUUGGAGAAUACACCAGUGCUACUACAUCCUACACUGCAAGUAAAGGAGGAGACAGAAAAUUGGUUGAAUGCAACAAAAAGUCCCUGUUGAUCCUGUUCAGAAAAUUACAAAGGAAUAAGGGCAAAGGGAGUAAGAGAAGACAUCCACCCAUCUGUGCAUAGAUUGAGAGUUCCUCGGAGCAGGGACCAUCCUUCUUAAAUGUUUUGAAAGUGUGUGGUACCCAGUGAGCACUUCCAUAAAUAGGAUAUGUAGCAAAACUACAGAUUCUGACAAUGACUGAUCUUGCACAAGGUAUUCUUCUGAAGUGAAACCUGAAUGAAGACAUGGGAGGAAAAAACAAAAACAGCUCAAAGGCCACAUUACUACUACUACUCGGUGCACUUCACAAACCAGGAAUUUAGCAACUUUCAGUCUCAAAAUUAGAUCAGUUUGAAGAUAUCAGUAAUGAGUUCAAAUACCUAAGUGUUAGAAAAUUAGAACAACAUCCAGAGAAUGCUAUUUCAAAAACAAAAACAUUUAAAAUAUAAAUUCCAAACACACACAUGAAUUUAAAGGUACACAGGGCCAAACUCACCAAACUAAUGCAGAGAAGUCCAAAUUACACCUCUCUGCACCAGUUAAACACUUGAAUCUCAGGAGAGAUUAAUCUCAGCAGGCUGCAGUCAGUAUUUAAAUCAAUGCCCUCAGUAGGGUUUCUGUUUGGGUGGGCAACUUCCCUCCAUGGAUCUUCCUUAGAACUCAACUGAAGAAGCAUCUGAGGGUUCAUAUUCUCUGCAUCAUUCCUCCUACUCUUCAGUGUAUUAUGAUCCCUUGCAUCUCUCUUUCCUAUUGCUACAAGUGAGGUUGCAACCAUUUUCUGUCACCACAACCCUAUGGUGUUUCUGCUACUGACUACAGCCUAUGUAUACACUUACUUUGCAGUGGAACUAUUCUAACCAACAUUGCAAAAUGGCUGAAAUAUAUAGAAAAAGAGUCCUUACACUGGGAGAGAAUUGAACUAACAUCAAGGAAACAAUCAUUUUCCGAACAUAGUUGCACCGUAACUUACAGACUAGCUUUUACAGGAGGAAGAUGAUACUGAAUAUAUUGAACUGAUAAUCAAACAUAAAAUUGCACAUUCAGAAUGUUAGAUAUCGGUCACUAAACUUAUCUUAUUGCCUACAAGCUCCUUGAGUAUGCAGUCUACAGAGUCUAGUAAGGAGUCUACAAACUCCUUUCGUAAGCCCAUCACUUUGAUGUCUUUUCCUCUGCUCAUCUCUGGGAUCUAGUUUCUGCCCCCUUCACUCCACAGAAAGAACAAGUGGCCUCCUCCUGGCUGAGUGUAAAGGUAUCUCCUCUAUUCUCAUUCUCCUCAGUCAAUAUUCUGUUUUUGACACAAAUUAUUUUUCCUUCCUCCUUGGGUUCUUGCGAUUCUGUGACUGCCUGUUUCUCCUUUUUUCUUUCAAUCUUUUUCAACAUCUCCAGUGGUGAGUCCUCUUCCUCCCCUCUCCCACACUCUGUUCAUAACAUUGUCCUGAGAUUUCUUCCCUCUUCCUUCUACACUUUGUCUCUGGGUGUACCUUUUGGGAGGUCCUUUGGAUGUAGGACCUCAUGCAGUACUAUGGCAUCAACUACAACCUCUAUGCAGAUAAAUUCUGUGAUGUUGCACCCUAUAAUGUUUGAUAAAAAUAUGCUUAUGAGUGUAAAUAUGACAUAAGUGAAAUAUGUUUUAUGCUAGAUAUGCUAUGUAACAUAUCUUUGCAAAGGUUAUGUUCUUCUGCAUGUAUUUAUCCUAUUUGGAUGCAUCUAUCAUUUUUAUAUAUGAAGUUAUGAGCAUUAGCUCUAUGUUUGCAUUUGAAGUGUUUGCUGUAGAAAGCACCUAAGGCAGAUUUGGUCAACAUAGUGUGAAGGGUUUAUUCAAGUAAUUGGAAGUACUUGGCUAACAAUGAACCUUGACAGACACCAAUCCACAUCUGAGCUUUCCUGGGAACCUCCUGUAAAGAACUGAGUCAUGCAUGAACAUGUGACUUG